rnacentral:rRNA from 1 species
CCUACGGGAGGCAGCAGUGAGGAAUAUUGGUCAAUGGGCGUAAGCCUGAACCAGUCAAGUCACGUGAGGGAUGAAGGUUCUAUGGAUCGUAAACCUCUUUUAUAAGGGAAUAAAGUGUGGGACGUGUCCUGUUUUGUAUGUACCUUAUGAAUAAGGAUCGGCUAACUCCGUGCCAGCAGCCGCGGUAAUACGGAGGAUCCGAGCGUUAUCCGGAUUUAUUGGGUUUAAAGGGUGCGUAGGCGGCCUUUUAAGUCAGCGGUGAAAGUCUGUGGCUCAACCAUAGAAUUGCCGUUGAAACUGGGAGGCUUGAGUAUGUUUGAGGCAGGCGGAAUGCGUGGUGUAGCGGUGAAAUGCUUAGAUAUCACGCAGAACCCCGAUUGCGAAGGCAGCCUGCCAAGCCAUGACUGACGCUGAUGCACGAAAGCGUGGGGAUCAAACAGGAUUAGAUACCCGGGUAGUC